rnacentral:ribozyme from 1 species
AAAUCAACCCCCCUCCAUAUUCUCAAGGAGUAGAAUACAAGGGGAAACCUCUACCCAAGCCCCCAGUCGACAAAAACGCCCAAAAAGCCAAGGCAAAA